UGAGGAACUCAACUCAAACUCCUCUCUCUGGGAAAACGCGGUGCUUGCUCCUCCUGGAGUGGCCCUGGCAGGGUGUUGGAGCCCUUGGUCUGCCCGGUCUGGUCUCUGGGGCCAAGGCUGGGUUUCCCUCAUGUAUGGCAAGAGCUCUACUCGUGCGGUGCUUCUUCUUGGCAUACAGCUCACAGCUAUUUGGCCUACAGCAGCUGUGGAAAUUUAUACCUCCCGGGUGCUGGAGGCUGUUAAUGGGACAGAUGCUCGGUUAAAAUGCACUUUCUCCAGCUUUGCCCCUGUGGGUGAUGCUCUAACAGUGACCUGGAAUUUUCGUCCUCUAGAUGGGGGACCUGAGCAGUUUGUAUUCUACUACCACAUAGAUCCCUUCCAACCCAUGAGUGGGCGGUUUAAGGACCGGGUGUCUUGGGAUGGGAACCCUGAGCGGUAUGAUGCCUCCAUCUUUCUCUGGAAACUGCAGUUCGACGACAAUGGGACAUACACCUGCCAAGUGAAGAACCCACCUGAUGUUGAUGGGGUGAUAGGGGAGAUCCGGCUCAGUGUCGUGCACACUGUACGCUUCUCUGAGAUCCACUUCCUGGCUCUGGCCAUUGGCUCUGCCUGUGCACUGAUGAUCAUAAUAGUAAUUGUAGUGGUCCUCUUCCAGCAUUACCGGAAAAAGCGAUGGGCCGAAAGAGCUCAUAAAGUGGUGGAGAUAAAAUCGUAAGGCUGGGCAGUUCUGGGAAAGUUCUAACACUCUAAUGGCGACUCUUGGUAUUUUGCAAUGGGCUAAAUAGUUGCUGAACAGAUGUUUUUCCCUUUAAGUAAAUCCUAUAUAAAAGAAUUCACAUUUGCAGGACAGAUAAAUUAGGUAUGAACUAGUAACUUUACAAAAGUUUUCUUAAUUUUACAAAAUAUUUCUUUAUGGGAUUUCUUUACUAUGUGGGGGGGUUGAUUUUAUAAAAAUCUGCUAUGUAAAGCUUUUCUAAAAAAUCCCUUAUGUUUAAAGUGAAGCAUACAUUUGUAAAAACCACUGGGCUAGGCAGUCAGCAGGGCCACUAUGAGUCAGGGCUUAGGAAAGUCUGUUGUGCUGAUAGCAGGUGUUCAUUAAAUGUAUUUUAAAAUUGAGAUAAAAUUUACCCACCAUAAAAUUUACCCUUUUCAUGUUCACAAAGUUGUGCAGCAAUCAUCACUAAUUGCAGAACCUUUUUAAACUCCCUCCCCUAAAGAAACCCCAUAUCCCUAGCUAUCACUCCCUAUUAUCCCCUCCUACCAGCCCCUGACAACUACUCAUCUACUUUCUGUCUCUAUGGAUUUGCUUAUUCUGGACAUUUCAUUUAAAUAGAAUCAUACAAUACGUGGUCUUUCAUGCCCAGCUUCUUUCACUUAGCAUAAUGCUUUCAAGGCUCAUCCUUGUUGCAAUAUGUAUUAGUAUUUCUUUCCUUUUUAUGACUGCAUAAUAUUCCAUUGUAUGAAUGUACCACAUAUUGUUUGUCCAUUCAAUUGAUGGGCAUUUAGGUUUUUCCUACUUGUUGGCUAUUGUG
rnacentral:sRNA from 1 species